GGUAAGGCUGGCCGUUCCGUGCAAGUCGAGCGGUAGAGAGAAGCUUGCUUCUCUUGAGAGCGGCGGACGGGUGAGUAAUGCCUAGGAAUCUGCCUGGUAGUGGGGGAUAACGCUCGGAAACGGACGCUAAUACCGCAUACGUCCUACGGGAGAAAGCAGGGGACCUUCGGGCCUUGCGCUAUCAGAUGAGCCUAGGUCGGAUUAGCUAGUUGGUGAGGUAAUGGCUCACCAAGGCGACGAUCCGUAACUGGUCUGAGAGGAUGAUCAGUCACACUGGAACUGAGACACGGUCCAGACUCUCCCAUACGGGAGGGCAGGCAGUGGGGAAUAUUGGAUCAAUCGACCGAAAGCCUGAUCCCAGCCAUGCAGCGUGGUGUGAAGAAGGUCUUCGGAUUGUAAAGCACUUUAAGUUGGGAGGAAAGGGGCAGUUACCUAAUACGUAUCUGUUUUGACGUUACCGACAGAAUAAGCACCGGCUAACUCUGUGCCAGCAGCCGCGGUAAUACAGAGGGUGCAAGCGUUAAUCGGAAUUACUGGGCGUAAAGCGCGCGUAGGUGGUUUGUUAAGUUGGAUGUGAAAUCCCCGGGCUCAACCUGGGAACUGCAUUCAAAACUGACAAGCUAGAGUAUGGUAGAGGGUGGUGGAAUUUCCUGUGUAGCGGUGAAAUGCGUAGAUAUAGGAAGGAACACCAGUGGCGAAGGCGACCACCUGGACUGAUACUGACACUGAGGUGCGAAAGCGUGGGGAGCAAACAGGAUUAGAUACCCUGGUAGUCCACGCCGUAAACGAUGUCAACUAGCCGUUGGGAGCCUUGAGCUCUUAGUGGCGCACCUAACGCAUUAAGUUGACCGCCUGGGGAGUACGGCCGCAACGGUUAAAACUCAAAUGAAUUGACGGGGGCCCGCACAAGCGGUGGAGCAUGUGGUUUAAUUCGAAGCAACGCGAAGAACCUUACCACGGCCUUGACAUCCAAUGAACUUUUCCAGAGAUGAGAUUGGUGCCUUCGGCUAACAUUGGAGACAGGUGCCUGCAUGGCUAUCAGUCAGCUCGUGUCGUUGAGCAUGCUUGAAUUAAGUGCCCGUAAUCGAGAGCAACCUCAUUGUCCCUUACUAACCAGCACGGUCAUGGUGGGGUCACUCUGAAGCAGACUGACGGUGACAUAACCGCAGCAAGGUGAGGAUGACGGUCAGAGUCAUCACAGUGGCCCUUACGGCCUGGGCUACACACGUGCUACAAUGGUCGGUACAGAGGGUUGCCAAGCCGCGAGGUGGAGCUAAUCCCAGAAAACCGAUCGUAGUCCGGAUCGCAGUCUGCAACUCGACUGCGUGAAGUCGGAAUCGCUAGUAAUCGCGAAUCAGAAUGUCGCGGUGAAUACGUUCCCGGGCCUUGUACACACCGCCCGUCACACCAUGGGAGUGGGUUGCACCAGAAGUAGCUAGUCUAACCUUCGGGAGGACGGUACGGGUAUGAGAGCCUCG
rnacentral:rRNA from 1 species